rnacentral:rRNA from 1 species
CUCCAGACUCCUACGGGAGGCAGCAGUGAGGAAUAUUGGUCAAUGGCCGGAAGGCUGAACCAGCCAAGCCGCGUGAAGGACGAAGGUGCCAAGCAUUGUAAACUUCUUUUGUCAAGGGACAAAAUCAGGCUCGAGAGCCUGACCGAGGGUACUUGAAGAAAAAGCAUCGGCUAACUCCGUGCCAGCAGCCGCGGUAAUACGGAGGAUGCGAGCGUUAUCCGGAUUUAUUGGGUUUAAAGGGUGCGUAGGCGGUUCGAUAAGUUAGAGGUGAAAUCCCGGGGCUCAACUCCGGCACUGCCUCUGAUACUGUCGGGCUAGAGUUUAGUUGCGGUAGGCGGAAUGUAUGGUGUAGCGGUGAAAUGCAUAGAGAUCAUACAGAACACCGAUUGCGAAGGCAGCUUACCAAACUACGACUGACGUUGAGGCACGAAAGCGUGGGGAGCAAACAGGAUUAGAUACCCCGGUAAG